rnacentral:tRNA from 1 species
GCUCCCAUCGUCUAGUGGCCCAGGACACUUGGUUCUCAUCCAAGAAACAGGAGUUCGAUUCUCCUUGGGAGCG